GAUGAACGCUGGCGGCGUGCCUAAUACAUGCAAGUCGAGCGAACGGACGAGAAGCUUGCUUCUCUGAUGUUAGCGGCGGACGGGUGAGUAACACGUGGAUAACCUACCUAUAAGACUGGGAUAACUUCGGGAAACCGGAGCUAAUACCGGAUAAUAUUUUGAACCGCAUGGUUCAAAAGUGAAAGACGGUCUUGCUGUCACUUAUAGAUGGAUCCGCGCUGCAUUAGCUAGUUGGUAAGGUAACGGCUUACCAAGGCAACGAUGCAUAGCCGACCUGAGAGGGUGAUCGGCCACACGGGAACUGAGACACGGUCCAGACUCCUAAGGGAGGCAGCAGUAGGGAAUCUUCCGCAAAGGGCGAAAGCCUGACGGAGCAACGCCGCGUGAGUGAUGAAGGUCUUCGGAUCGUAAAACUCUGUUAUUAGGGAAGAACAUAUGUGUAAGUAACUGUGCACGUCUUGACGGUACCUAAUCAGAAAGCCACGGCUAACUACGUG
rnacentral:rRNA from 1 species